UGGAAUUCCAGUGAGGAUAAUGCAUUCUCAGUGCCAAGAUUUCCGAGGCCACAGUGUGCCUCAGAUGAAGAACUAUUAUUUUUUUUCUGAGGAUGCUUGGCACACCAUGGCUGAACUUAACGUGGAUUCCAUACAACAUUGAUCCCAUUUUCUACUUCUUGUUUGUUCUGAGUUCCUCUUGUUUUUCUUCCCCCUACAAAUGAAUCUAUCAAUAUUUGGGUGAAUCAGAGACAUACAUCAGGCUACUGGAAAGACUGCAUGGACCCAGAAAGAAUGUGUGGAUUUCUCUUCUUCAUACUGGAUGGACUGGAUUUGAGGCAGAAAUAUACGCUGCUCCUGACUCACCCAGGGCAGCUCCACAUUUCCCAACCCCAUUUAAAUGAGCGAGAGAAAUAUCACCAGUUUUGCUAGUGGGAUAAAAUUGGAAACAGAAAGAG